CUGCUCUUCUCCCUGUACACCAACAGCUGCACCUCCAGUCAUCAGUCCGUCAAGCUCCUGAAGUUUGCGGAUGACACCACCCUCAUUGGACUAAUCUCUGGUGGGGACGAGUCCGCCUACAGGUGGGAGUCUGACCAUCUGGUGUCGUGGUGCAGCCAGAACAACCUGGAGCUCAACGCUCUAAAGACAAUGGAGAUGGUUGUGGAUUUCAGGAGGAACAGAGCCCCACCCUCCCCCAUCACCCCGUGUGACUCCCCCGUCACUAUUGUGGAUUCCUUCCGUUUCCUGGGCUCCAUCAUCACCCAGGACCUCAAGUGGGAGCUGAACAUCAGCUCCAUCACCAAGAAGGCUCAGCAGAGGAUGUUCUUCCGGAGGCAGCUGAAGAAAUUCAACCUGUCAAAGAGGAUGACAAUGCACUUUUACACGGCCAUCAUCGAGUCCAUCCUCUGGUCCUUUAUCACCGUGUGGUAGCGUGUUAUCCGCUCUGCAGAGAGGGUCAUCGGCUGCAAUCUGCCGUCACCUCCAGGACUUGUUUGCUUCCACAACCCUGAAGCGAGUAAGAAAGAUAGUUGCCGACCCCUCUCACCCCGGACAAAAUCUGUUUGUGUCCCUUCCAUCUGGCAGGAGACUGCGGUCCAUCAGGACCAAAACCUCCUGCCACACAGUAAGUAUCUUCCUGUCGGCAGUGGGACUCACUGUCAUCCUGACUUCCUACCGGUCACUCCCCCGCACAUCCCUUCACACAUACUACAUAUGUAAAUACACUUGAUUGCUUUCCCAUACACUCAUAAUACGGUUGUGUACAGUAUCUCUUUAAUCUUUAUUCCUCUAGUUUAUAUUCUUCUAUAUUGUAAUAUACAUUUAAAUAGUAUAUUUUCCUACACUGUGUUAUUUGUCAUGUUGUCCAAUGUCUCAUUGUCUUAUUGGACAAUGUAUUCCACCACCUGCCAUGACAAAUUCCUUGUAUGUCCAACACAAUUUGGCAAUAAAUGUUCCUGAUUCCUGAUUAUAUCCAUUAUGAAUAUUAUACUUUGUAAUUAGAUUCGCGAAACCAUACUUGAAGACGCCGUCAUGUCUGUCAGUUCUAUUACAGCAGAAUUGUAUUUUAAAUUCUUGGCUAUGUUACGUAAAUAAAAACAGUUUCUCCGUUCGGGUUGUACAAGGUAAGUGCAAUAUCAUAUGAUAACUCCGCUCAAUGAUUUUUGUGAGAUUUUCCCCCUUAACAGAGAAUGUUUCAUAUCAACACUUGUACAGAGUGUGCAUAACACAUUCCUGAAUACUGUUUGUGAUCGCUGGGUCCUUUCCCUCCUGUGUGUGCGUGUGUGUGUGGGGGGGGUCAUAUGGAGAAUGAAUAAAUGCAUGAACGUUGAACUGCAGAUCAAUAAAUACUCAGGAAUGCUACCUACAGGACAACAUGUGAGUUUUCUGCUAUAUAUGACCAUGCUAAAUCGUCAGUCAUGCAUCCCCAGCUCUCCGAGGCCAUUAUGAGCAUUUGCUCGGGACUAUUUAUAGAGAGCCUCCGCGUGUUUAGUCAUAAAACACCUGACCCUUCAAAUCAGAACCCACUGAGUUGAGCAACAGAGACUUGUUUUUAUCGUAUGUUUUCACUUCCAUAGAAGCUGCGGCUUACAGCAAGGACAAUUUUAAGAAAGAUGUAAAAAAAAGUCUAAAAAGACAAAUGUGUCCCCUGUAACCUCUACCUUCAUGUCUCAUCAGCCUUUCAUCACACUCAAGGCAUGUCCCCCUUUCAAAUAUGCUCCUUUUUUUCUUCUCCCUGAAGGUCCUCCGGCUCCUGGCACUGCUCGCUGCUUUGCGGUUACGAGUCAAGACUGCAGCACACGCAGAUGCGUGCGUUUGUAUUUCUGCCACUAACUUGUCUCUUAGGUUUGGACCAAAGUAUCAAUGUAUUCAGUGUUUCCAACGAGCCGAGCAGACUUCACAGACAAGAAACAGAGACGAGGGGCACUUACUGCUCGUACAGUCAAUGGAGAGCCUCAUGUGCUUUUAGCUUGAUUCAAAUCGUGUUCACUGAUAAAAUUAUUUGGAAUGUGCUCUUGGCAUUAACACCCGUUUUCAAUGAGACUUUUUCGUUGUGAAAGAAUGGAAAUAAUAACACGUGCAUAUUAUUAAAAUGAACCUAGAUGUGUUCUUCUGAGAGCUGCAGGAAAAAUCUAUGAAAAGCCAUUUUUUUUACAACAAUAUCACAAAUUACUGCAAAUGCAUCAUAAGGGUUCCAAAGUCACCUGUUUCUGUUUUCUUUCCUUUCUUCAAAGGAAAAAUGACAUUUAAUUGCCAUUGAAAAUGUACAUCUGUGAGACUAUGAAUAUAAAUGAGACUACUAGGCUUCUUGUUCUCAUGGUAACACAAGUAGGAUGUGAUGCGUUGAUUGACCUUGAGGGUGUGGAGUUCCUUUUCCCACAUACAUUUAGCAGCAAGGUAAGUCUCCGGGUGGGUUUCACAGCUUGUGCUAGCAAAACAUCAAACGCUUGUGUUAAUUCAUCUUCUCUGGCUGCAUGGAUACAUACGUGAAGAAGUCCAAAUACUUUAUGUAAUGACAAAACAGGUCUGUCAUAAAAAUAAAUAGUAUUCACCUCAUUCACUGCACACAUCUUGUUAGGAAAUGACUGCAACCAUCCAGGUGAUCAUUGUGUAAUGUUUGAAUUUACAAAGGCAAUGCAUUACAAUGAUACAUUGAUCCAUGUGUAUUUCUAUGAAGGUACAUGAGCAGGCCUGUGGGGGGCACUCCAGCACUUUCACCAUCAUCUGUCGCUCUCUUCCCUCCAUCUCUACCGUUUCCCAGCUUUCCCUCCCUAUUUUCUAUCUUCCUUUUAUUCUGUGACUCUAUCACUGCUCACUCCUUCUCUUUCUCGUUCUAAUGUGCUCUCUCAUCACCGUUUCUGGCUCUCGAGUUCUUCCUCUCCCUCCAAUAUUCCACUUUUGGUGGACAACCAUUUCCUCCCCUUUGCUCCCUCUUUUCUGUCCGUCCUCUCAAGCUUAUCUCUGUUGUUUGUCUCCCACUUUUUGUUCAGAAUUUUUAAUCAAUACUCCUUCCUUCCUUCACAUCCCGUUGAAAUAAAACAAACACAUUAGAAAGAAGGCAUAAGUAGCUUGACCUUCUUUUUGUUGCAGCCAUUUCUCAUUCCCUGCCUUUCCAUAAUGCAGCAGAGCAUAAUUAGUAUGACUAUCUACACAAGAGCCUGAUCAGGUUUCCGGUAGAUGGGGAGGGGGGGGGGGGGGAAUAAAAAAUGGAAGUUUGAUGACACAGACAGGGUUUCCUUUCUUCUUAUUUCGUACGACUUCACAGAAAGCGACGGUGAGGUUGACGUCAGCUCAUUAGUCAUUCCACAGAUUCGUGCUCAUUCAACAUGUUUAAUACUUGGGCAGCUUCAAAAAUUUGACUUAAUUACGUUAAGCUGUCGGGAACAUGAUGUGUUCUGUAUUUUUUGCGAGGCAUCAAAGCAGAACUAUGUGAUCCAACCUCUCGGUGAAUAAACCAUUCUCUCUCUUUGGGUGGGAUGAAAAAAAAGGGCAGAAAUAUUUUAUAAUUUCUCCUUUUGUUUCAAAUCGUUUGCAGAUUCACAAACAAUUGCCAAACCAUUUAAUCUUGUUGGAGCUCCAGGCUUUAAAGUGUCUUCUCAAGUAGACGGAUAUUUAUCCAAAAGAUGUCACCGUGCCAAGUGUAUUCAUUCAUGCCAGGAGUUGUAAUCGAGUUGACAACAUCUGCACUCCUGGGAUUAAGUGAAAGAACAGCAAAAUGCUGGGAUAGAUUGGGCCAAUCAUAUUCAAUCUCUCUGCCUGUGGAUAACUAGAGACGCUUUGGAGUUUAAUCUUAGUGUCCUUUGAGACAACCAACCGUCGGUUAAACCUACAUUGCCCAACUUAUUUUAUUAAAACGUUAUUGAUUUUUCCUUUGUCACAAAUCGUAAUAAAAAAACAGGCUGUGCAAAGUGAUCGUAAUUAAAUAUUAGCCCUUAAAUGUAUUACUUUGUCAGGAAAUGACUGAUGGCUGCUUGAUGGCUGGUGGCCGUGACCUUGACUGGGGGGAUUACCGGCGCGGGGGCGGACCAAAGAGAUGGUUGCAUGAAGCAGCCAAUUCUUAAUGACUGAGUAACAUCAUAGCAAUUUCAUAGCUUUUUUCAAAUUUGAAACCACUUCAUUUCAAUUUCCUCUGGCUCCACAGAAAAAUAUCUUAAUUUCUUCAAUAAGUGGGUGAUUAAUAUACUUAAUUGCCAUUAAACACUUUGAUUCGAUCGAUUAAAAGAUGUCGCAUUAAAUCAAAUGGCUAAUAUGAGUUACCUAUAUUAGUUUGGUUUUUGAGAAACAUUUACCAUAAAGAGACAUUUUAAGCUCUAACACAAGCUUUGAUGUUGACGAAAACAGCAUUUACUAUCUGCUAUUGCUCCCAUGUGACAUGGAAACUGGUCGUGUGUCAUGCAGCACUGAGUACUCCAACAACAUUUUACAUUUAAACUUGAAUCAACACCCCAAUCAAUAUGAUGAUAUACAAUUAAAUGGUGAAAGUGUACUAUUGAAGGAUUCUCCUGGCUGGUAAAAAUUGCCACGGCUGUAUUUGUGUAAAACAGCAACAGCCUACUGUGAAGUUGGCUUUGAGUAAAUGCACGAUGCCAAUCAUGUUGAGAUGCAAGUAAAUGUUGGCCUAUAAUUUAGUUAAUACUCUGUUGGCAUUGAUUGCAUGCAUGUUGAGAUGCUGGUGAAUUUAGUUAUUGUGCUAUUGGCAGCAAGUCAAUGUACUUGGCCUGCCAGGGGGGACCCAUUGUCUCAUAAUCUGUCUAUGCCCAAGACAUCUGUCCCACCUGAGCAGGUGGUUUUCGCCGGCUGGACAAGACAGAGUGAAGUAUUCAACCCAACCCAAGCUAAGGAAUACUUAAAUAAACAAUUACAACAAAGUCUGUUGUAAUCUAGUUUAUCUUCACGUUUUAAGUGCAAUUCAAAGCUAGAGCCCUCUAAAUUGACGCAAUGGCGUUGGACUAUUUAAUAUAACCUCAGGUGCUAAAACUGCCCUGUAUGUUUAGUGUCAUCUUAUUCAUGUUCACCUUGAAAUUGUGCAGCUUUAUUUGCCAUAUUAAUUAUUCUACAGUUCAUGUAAUUAAGAACAAGGAUAAGUAAUUUGGAGAUUUUACUCCUUUGUUAAUGUAGACAAACUCACUUAACUAAUGAGAUACUUUCACAAAUCCGUAACUGGUGAUUUUUUAUCUACCUUCAUCAUCAAUCUGCUUCAAUCCGAAAUACACAAAAGAAAAGGAAUAUUCCUCAUUUAUAAUAUUUAAAUGAAUGAUCAUUUACCACGUGCAAGGCUCCAUUUGGAAAUGAAUGAAGUAAAUUGAGAGGGGGGCAAUCCUCCACGGUGGUUAACAUGGAAGAGUCCCAGAAAACGGAUCAACUGGUGAAAGCGUCAGAGGUGGAUAAUGUCCGCCAUGCAGAAAGGGAAUAUUUAGUCAAAGCAUGGAUCGCCUGCCAAUACACAGUCAUGUAGCCACAUGGUGUGGGGAUUAGACAAAACAUUGAAACAUUACUUUCAGGUUAUCACUGUGCUCCAUUCUGCACUGAGGGGAGAGAUGUUCAGUUUAAAUUAGUGGAUAACUAAAUGCAUUCGAAAUAGCCUGCAUGUUGUGGGAUAAGACAGAUAUCCUUAUGCUGCUCUUUUAUAGUUCUAAACUUUUCAUCAUGGAAAAUUGUUUGCAGGCUGCUUCAACAACAAUGUGAGAGGAUGCUUUCUUGUUUUCUCUCACGCAAAUAGAUGUUCAGUCAAAGCAAAAUCAAUACACUUAAAUCAGCUUAAAGUCUGCUUUAGCAUCAUAUGAAACACUGUAUGGAAUCAAAGUGAUGUAGAAAAAUGUGGGCAAUUUCUAAAGUUGCCGUUUGAAACUACGGUUCUAUUCUAGGGAGUGAUUAGAAAUUCGUAAGAUCUACUCUCUACUUCCCAUAUAAUGUUGCAUGGAGCUACACGCGUAUCUAUGAAUAUAUCAGGCACACACGUUUGGAGAGGAUAGGUGAGAGGCUGGAGGUACUCUCUGGCAGACAAGUGUAAUCUCUUCUAUAAAUCUACAGCAGAGCCUCUCUUUUCCAAGCAGCUUAAACAGACUCCUGCCUCGUGAGUAGGAGGCUCUUGAACCACAAAAUGCUGCAAAGCAAACAUCACAUUUAUCAAAAUGUCCUUGUCUGUAGCACUCGCUACAAUCAUAUGUAAUUUAAGUUGGAGUAGAAAUUACUAAGGCGACCAAGGUCAGCAGAACCUCCCAUUAAAUGAAUGGCAGUUCUGGCGAUAUUAAAGCAGGGGCACCCCUGUUCCUGUGAGGCCAUUUGUUAAACAACUCUCAUGGGGACUUUAGAAGCCGAAUGGACCAUAUUUCCAGACACUGCGUGAAUUGAAUUAUUGAGUCUUCAGCGGCUUGUUGGACUUUGAGUUCAACCACUUUAUUUCAACCACACAAUUUUGAUAUAACCUUCACCAGUUGGUUGGUGAAUUGGAUUUAUUCGACAAUCAAAAGGAGCAUUAAAGCUUCGUGCAGAAGCAGGCCAGUUUCUCAUGAAUUAUGAAUGAUUAAAAAUGAAAGCCAGUAUGUUUGUUUUCAUUAUGGACAUUUAUAAUAAUAAGACAGAGGACGAGUCACCGACAAAUUGCAGCUUGAUACCUCAUACAUUCAAACACACUCAAAAUAAUACAAAAGGCAAUGCAUUCUUAAACUGGUUGGAUCCUGCCACAACACAUCAUAGCAGUAUAUGAGAUAUUAAUGUAAUCUAUUCUGUUGCUAUACCAACGGUUUUGAACCUACUUGCCAGCAAGGGUUUUAAAUCUGUAGGGUACCAAGUCCUUGAGGCUCCUCCUGGUGCUGUAGCCAUGUUCAUCCCUAAACACGUCAAAAAUAGUUAGUAUGACCUUUUGGUCCUUCCCCCAAACAAUCGUUAGUGCCAUGCACAAAUUAAUCUAGUCCAUCAUGUCUUUUACCCUAAACCAAUUGACUCCCUCAAAAUGAGAGGAAUCCAGUCAUUUUUCAUCCAUCAUUGGUAUCAUAAGAGCAGCGAAGAAGAACACGAUUUUUCCAUUGGCAACGCAUGCCUUUGAUUAACUCCACCGGUUGCCUUUUUGAUAAAAAACAGUUUCAUCUAUUAGCGAUAGGACUUCUCCUCUCAUAAGCUUUGUUAAAAUAAAAUCAAUUAUAUGUGAUUAAAACAAUCCGGCAGCCGCUGGUCCCCAAAGCAGGAGGUGAUUUAGAAUUAUCUGUCUGCUAUGUAGGAUAGGAGAUGGCAGAACGCCAUCCUUGUGCGGUGAUGAAUCUGGUGGAAUACCAGGGAAAGCUACAGCUCGCACACACAGAGAAAGAGCUUCCUAUUUUCGGUGCAGUCCUAAAACCAUGCAAGAAAAAUCCAAAGUUUCUAGUUCAUCAUAGUUAUUAUGUAUUUUCUCUCCCCUCACUGUCAAAUGACCCUCUUUGAGUUCACUUCACGUCUGCUAUUUUCCCUUUUCUCUGAUAACUGGUUGACUAGCACCCACUUCCAUCCUAAUACCCCUCUUCUCUUUACUAAAAUUGCAGCAGCUACAAUACGCGUGUCGUGUUUUUUAGCAUGCACUGGGACAAAAAAAAGCCUUCUGGGUAACAUUGUUUGAAUAUGCCCAGCUCAAACAGACUCCCCGAACCAACAGAAUUGUUUGCGCAAUUCUUACAGUCACUCCUUGUUAUUGUCGGGUGCAGAUAAGCUCUUAAUAGUCAACAUUCUGUGCAUAUCCCUGAAGUAUUGUGAAUCGAUAAGCCAAAAGUACAUAAAAAGUGUGCCAAUGUCUCACAACAAAUGAAAGCUUUGUGACUUCAUGUCGACUCAAUUUUAUCCAAAUAAUUUUUGGAGCUCUCUAAAACAUCAAGAAGUUGGGUCCCUGUUAUUUUACUUUUUUGUCUGAAGCAAACAAAUCACUUUAUUUGAUGUACAUCUUGUUAGACUGCAGUGAUGCUGGGGCACGAAUUAGCUGCUAAUCAUUCAAAACACUGAGUAAGUGCUGAACAAAUCAAAGUCCGGAAACACAAAUCUAGUGAUGUUUGUUUUGUUCUCUACAAAACAACACACCUGCGGUUAUUCAUGACAUUAACUCAGGAUCUUUGGUAGCCAAGCCGUACUAACAGCGAGGCUGAGUGGAAGGGUGUCUGGGCUUCUUCAAAGCCUAAUUGAAAGAAAUGCAUUUCAGCGGGGCUCUUAGCUGUCCUCCCUUUAAGUGGGAAGUCUGGGCUCUGAAGUCAGCAGGUAGGCUUUUGCACUUCUCAUGGUUAGCUCAUCAGCUUAGCUGCGAGAGUUGGAGCUCUGAAAACAAGCCAAAAAUCAAAGUCAGGACCAGCCAAAGUGGCUAUAUUGGCAACGGCUUACACAAUAUGUGUGCUCACACCAUGAUAGUUGGCUUAGAUACGGAUGCUGUGUUCCUGCUCAACGCUUAGUUGUAAGAGCUUCAGGCUAAGUUGGCAUGAUUCACUGUAGAUUUAAAGUAUAUGGUCUUGCAUUGGAGAACGUACUCCAAAAGUGAUCAACUUUAAGAACAUUUUACAAAUCAUGAUCCCCACCAGAAUAUUAUGCAUUUGGCCCGUGAGUGUGUAUAUUCCUGUGUCUGCCUGUCUGUCCACAGUUGUUAUUGCAUACGACUGGACCCAUGAGUGCGCAUUUAUGUCCAAGGACCUCUCGUGUCUGCAGUGAAAACAGAUUUUACUGACAACAUAAUUUAUUGGCUGGUAGAGACUGUGUUAAUGGUUUGGACUAGUAUUUCCAUACGGAAUACCGCAUGUGCAGGGGGAAUACUUUUUUGUCCAACUCGGUGAGUGAAGGAUUGCUUUGCACUCGACCAUCGUUGUUGGUUGUUGUGAUGAGGGAACGGUCUGAUCAAGUUAGUUUUGGUGAGUUGUUUUGUUUCUGUAAAGUUUUAGGGCCAACAUUUUGGGGGUUUUCCGAUGAGUUGACAAAGCAAUAGAGAGUACGAGAGCAGGACAAUCUGCUUAAAAUCAUAUACAGUAUAAGUGUUUCUUUUUUUACCAUCAACAUUGCGUUCACACAUGCAUUGUUGCGAAAAUAGAGUUAAAGCGGAAAUAAAUGCUUGAGUUUGCAGCUGAGACACAAGCAUGCACCGAGCCAGUGCAGACAGUUGCAUAAAUUAAAAUGAAAGCAUGUUUUUUUGUAUGUACACUACACACUAUGUGUCUAAGAGCUGGUUGGUAUAAAGCAUCUCUGUUCACCACGGAGUCUUUAGUUCACUUGUUUUUUUUUUAGCAUUGUAAACUGAAUGUCUCUAUAAAGAGUUCCUCUCCUCUGGUAAAGCACAAAUAAAGUUUUCUUGUUAGGUUAUAUCUUGCCAGUAAUGACAGAGGUCAUUCAGCAGUCAAUAAAGUUAUCUAAACAGAUAAAGUAUUGCUUUCUUAAUUAGGUGGAACAGAAGAAUAAAUUACUGUUUAAAGGAUAUGACUUUUGACUCUUAUUUUCCCUUUGCACAGAGGGAUUUGCCACAGAGCCUCUGAUCUAUUUCAAAUAUUAAUUUUCUGAUAAAUAGACGGCAACAAAACAAAUAAUCCACAAAAGUUAUACCUUUUAAAUGGCUGGCUGUAAUGCAAAUCCAGUGUCAACAACUUAAUUUGCUUUUUCAGCCACUGAGUGCAAACCAUGUGUGUUGCAGAUAAGCUUCGCAGACAAUAACAGUGAUGAGCAUAAUGAUCUUUUUUCAAUUAUGGGAUUAAAAUAAAUUUCAAAACAGACAAAGUAAACUGUGUGUUGACACAAAAGUUAAACCAAUAGGGUUGUGGAGGAUUUUAACAAGUUAUGUUAAUUUGGUCAGCUAUUGGGAGUCUUGUAAUGUUCCGUCUUAACUUAAUGCGUUAUUCAGUUUAACAAGGUGGGUCUCCUGUGUGGGUUUUGAUGCAUCUUAAGUUGAUGAAACAUGUGUCGUCACAUGUGCAGACUUGGUGCAUCUUAUAGUCCUCAGACAAAUUUCCAUCCAUAAAAUUUCCAGACAGAAGAUGUCUGACCUAUGGUCUGUCCCGGACAAUAACAAGGUCUCGUGUGCUCCCAAAGCUGAGCGGACACGGACCGCCUUUGUGCUGUAUGUCAUUAUCAAAUUGGCUCCUCUCUCCCGUAAUAUAAGAUGCAGAGAAUUUCUGUCCUUUCUGCUUGAUCCCCGAACACCCCGGAAUGUGGGAUAUCAGCCUGCCAGUUAUGCUGCGCUAAGGUGUCCCUCUCUUUUCCUUUUCUUAAUAAUGCAUAAUGAGCAACCAUGGCCAGGUCCCUACAAUAUAGUAAAGGAGGAAAAACAUUUAGGACGACGCCUUGUAAAUGGUGUCCGCUCAGUGCCCAGGGAGUGUCCGUCUCUUUUACCUUGGCAGAGAAAAACCCCCACCAGGAUCAGCAUUAGACCACGAGUGGAGGAAAAUCCACAGUUGCACGGUGUGUUUGCAUUGUCACAACAAAAACAAAAGUAUUUUUUAUCAUUUAAGGAUAAAAAAAUAGCAAUAGCCAGUCCAGAAAAGAAGGGACAUUGUGAGAAGAGAGCAGCUCAUUAGUUGCAACUGCUUUGGCUGUUCAAAACAAUGUGUCACUACACGUUUCAAAAUGACAUCCUGCUGAAAUAAACAGACAACAUUUCUCUCCUGCUGUCGCUGUGCUAAAGUCAGAAGAAACACAAAGCGACACAGACGGCAUAAUCUUCAAGACUUCACUAUCUCCCUGCUCUGAAAAUAGUCUUUUCUUUUCUUUGCAAAUAGUGUAAGCACUUUAUCUAUAUGUACAGCGUUUAUAGGCUCACGUAAGGAGCUUUAAUUCCGCAUAUUUAAAUGUGACUGAGGCAACUAUCAUUGUAUUCAAAACAAACAAGGAAAUAAAUAAAUAUUCAAGCAUCAUCGGACAAGUUCAAAGCAUUGCUUUCUAACCUCAGCUCUAUGAUGGAAGGAACACGAAAAGAGGCCCCAGGAGAUGGUGGGUUUCACGUACCUGUGUGAUUUAUGGUCUACCACAACAAAUCAUCAAGUUUAACUUUAAUUGUUUUCUUUGCGAUGGGAGGUGGGGUAGUUAAUACAGAGAAAUGAUUGAUGGCACAGGGCACCGUGUUUGGCUUGGCACUUUGUCUUUUGCAGUGCAGCUCAGGAAUUGAACCAGUUGAUAGAAGCAAUUAAUUGGAGGUUUUUUUUCUGAUUUAGGAAAUAUACAGACCAAAAGCUAUCCUGCAAAUUGUGCUAUUGCUGUGUUGGUAAGUGGUCCACCAGUUUUUCAUUGUCAUUGUUUUGAGAGGGAAAUCUCUAUUUCUUAAAAAGGGAAAAUGUCAGACAUUGUCGCUUUAUUCUUUAUUUUGUACUCAACAUGGGUUCACAUUUGCGUUUAUAUGAAUUAGUAUUUGAUUAUAAAACUUUACACAAGCGGGUGACAAUUUAAUAAAGUUUGCUUCUGUUCUAUCUUGGAUUGCUAAGUAAUUGAGACAACCAUUUAAUUGAAUGCUUUACUGUUGAUGUCUCUUGGAGUAGUGGCUGUAAUCAGCAAUGCACACCUAAUUUACAAGGAAAACGGUGCCGGGAUGGGAGAGCAAAUGCUCACACUGAUACAUUCAAUCACUAUUGCUAAUUAGUAAAACUUGUCCCACCAGUAGCACCAUGAUAUAUUGUGAUUAAAUUAGAUCACAGGUUAAAAAACAACUACAGCUGAUAUGACAGCUGAUCAGCUCUCCAUCGAUCACGGCACAGGGCUCUAAACAGUCUUUCACUGUGAUGAUUGUAACCAUGCGGUCUAAAGGUGCCUCUGAAUGCUCCACAGAGUAACCUUGCAGCUCCUGCCAGUAACUCAUGAGCAAGUCAUGAUAGGUCUAUUUAUUUUUUUGCAUUUGUUCCAGACGGCUGGCGACUGAUGCAAUAGACUGUAGAUGAUUUACUUCUGUUGAUUAUUGAAUCAUGCUGGAAGAGAGGGAGAAAAUGCCUUUCCCAGUAAGCUACAUCUGACUUUAAAUUAAGUUUAAAUGUUUUUUUCCUCGGUCAAUUCAUAAAAAGGACCUUCGUUGUGAAUUUUAGUAAUGAAAUAUGAUGAGCACUGCUUGGGAGCGUUGAAUCGACACCACAUUGUCCAGACGUGUUGGGAAAAGAAUGAUGAUGGUUGUGUGAGUGAGGCUACAGAAUGUUCCUGUUGUUACAAUGGAUACACAAUGCAUGCUGAACCUGCAAAGACGAUAAAUAAAACAUAAUUGAUUGCAAUACUGUCUGGGAGUGUUUUUGCAAACAUCAGUCACAUUUGCAAAUAAUUACCAGGACUGCUUGCGGAUGCUUACGAUGGAGGGCAAGCUGAGAGGGACUUACUGCCACAAACACAGACCAUCUAAGUUUAGUGCUGGAAAGGUGAUUGACAAGAGCAAUGCUUUAUUAGGUUUGGAUUUAAAUAAGACAAAAUAUGUAUUCAUGUACAAUCAGAUACAUUUCAAGUAGGGCUGUUGACAUAAACGCUUUAAUUUUGCAAUUAAUGUGGCUGAGAUUAUUGCAACAUAAUAUUUUAACGUAGUUAACGUACAUAUGUUUACUUCCGCAGAAGCGAAACGGCCGCUAGCUGCCAGUCAGUCACGCCGGAAAAAGAAAGACGGUGUGAAGUGAAACAUGUACAAGUUUCAUGUUCAACAUGUUCCGCAUGUUCCACCCGGUGGAAUUCUGCCUCAAAGAGUGUGUUUAAAAUAACAUUAACCAUUAAACAACAGUGUCUAAAAUACAAGUAUUGUAUUGUUUAUAUAUAUAUAUUUCUAAAAAAAUGUAACUGAUUAGUUGAUUUUUUUUAAAUCUAUUGACAGCCAUAAUAUAUAUACAUAUACUAUAUACUGUGAGUUUGUAAUAAAGUUGGAAAAAAACACGGUAGUAAAAGAUCAUUUGCAUCAUAUUUACAAAUGAAUGAGGAGGUGGGUCCUCAAAUACAAAAAGUUAUGAAAGAGAAAAUCAAUAAUCCUGGAUUUGGCUCCAUACCCCCACCCGCCAUCUGGGGGUUCCCCUGUGGGUUUUCCCCCAUUCUUGGGUUUUCCGACCUAAAAAAAAAAAAAUCUUCUCCGCAAGAGCAAUGACACCUGGCAGCAUAAUUACCAACAACAGUGCUUGGAGUCGAAAGUAACAGGGUUACUCUCCAACAAUGUUUCUCUAGAGGACGAGCUGCACAAGCAGCAGGCCAACAACCAUCAUUUGGAAGCAGAAUACAAACUGCUGAAGAAUGAGAGGGAUUUUCUGGCUGCUUUACAAAAGAGCCAAGAGAAGACCCACCAUAAGAUGGUUACUAGCAGUGAUUUCACUUGUGCCUGAUCUCAACGAUCUGACCAAAGGAAAUCAGAUGACUUGAAAAAUUAUACUGAGAACCCAUUUUACAGUGACGGUUUAAUGAUGGUUUAAUGGCUCAGUGAUCCCGUGAUCUAUGUUGUCUGUGGCACAAGCCCCUUGUAGGGUGGCCCAAGGACAACAGGUCUCAGGGGAGAGUCCAGACUAAGAGCGAUUCAAAAACCCAGAUGUUAAGCGGCCCACAAAGCCCAGUCACAUGGCCCGGACGAGGAGAAGAAAUGGACAGUGGCCCUACGCCCCCACGUUGUGAAAGGUGAAACAAAACUAAACAAUAAUAAAAUGUCUCUUACAGACUAUUUCCCAAGUGUUUAAAAAGUUUUUUAGAAGAAAACACCAGCAGCAACACGGCCAGGUGGGCUUUAACUUCAUAACUUUUGUUAUCGCUCAUUUCUUAUCAAGAUCUAAGAAUACAAAGCUGUAUGCCAUUUUUUUUCGCCAGUUGGAGGCGGAGGACACUCCCAGUGAGCCACCUGCCAUUCUGCCUCCAUCCUGCGUGGCGGGUUUGCUAUCCUAGGGCAUUGAAAGCGAAAUAUAAAUGUAUAUAUACAUAUAUAUACAUUUAUAGAAAUAUAAAUGUAUAUAUAUAUAUAUAUAUAUAUAUA
ensembl:lncRNA